GGUACUCAUGUACGGUGGCCCUGAGGUGCGAAACACAAUUGCAAAUCAGAAAACACAACACAAAAAGAGAAAACACAGCAGCAUUAACCAUUGUGUUUCCUGUUUUUGUGUUGUAUUUUCUGAUUUGCUUUUGUGUUUUGCACCUCAGGGCCACCGUACUCGUGUGU